UACAGAGGUCCCGAGCGUUGUUCGGAUUCAUUGGGCGUAAAGGGUGCGUAGGCGGCGCGGUAAGUCGGGUGUGAAAUCUCGGAGCUUAACUCCGAAACUGCAUUCGAUACUGCCGUGCUUGAGGACUGGAGAGGAGACUGGAAUUUACGGUGUAGCGGUGAAAUGCGUAGAUAUCGUAAGGAAGACCAGUGGCGAAGGCGGGUCUCUGGACAGUUCCUGACGCUGAGGCACGAAGGUCAGGGGAGCAAAC
rnacentral:rRNA from 1 species